GGCUGAUUAUGUAUCUCGACGUAUCACUUCUAACUGUGUAACGCAAAGCUAAAUUGAACACUAGAGUGUUUUUGCAAUUCCGAUUAUGUAAGACAAAAGACAGCCACAAUGCCUAGUGAUAUCGUUCUAGGCGCAAAAUUUUAUCGACAUUAUGCGACUAAAUAAAAUACACCCUUUCCCGGUACUACUUACUACGGGUGCGGCAUACUUUUGCACAUAUACGCAUUAUACUUGAUUUUGCUGUUUGUCUGUGGUGAAGUGAAGUGCCAUAGUUUCUUUGUUGGUAAACAAAGCCGUAUUAAAAUAUUAAUGAAAAAAUUGGUUUCGUUGGAUCAAAGUACUUGCUACUGCUAGUUUUUUGUUUUCAAUAGAAGUAAUUAAUUAAUCAUUUUAUCGUAUACAUUUUUAUUAGUGUUAAUAGUUAAUUUAUCAAAGUAAACGGCCACUUUUACAUAAAACAUUAUCUACACGAAAGUUCUUCAAAGUUUUAUCGUCUGCCUAUGAUUAAUUUAAUGGUCGUUGUGAUAAUAUGUAAAGUAUAUUGUAUAGUGUUUUGUUUAUUAAAGUUCAUCGCUUGCAACUAAAGAUGUCCGGGAAACUCAAUGAUCGCCUUGGCUUGGAUCAAACUUGGCGAUGGGUUGUUUUGGAGGGCCUUUGGAAAGUCAGGCUACUAAAUAAACCUUCCGUGUUCGCGUCUGCCAGUGGCGUUGUAUCAACAUGAAGAUGUGGGCUCUAAACUUUGAGUGCCAGGGACUGACUAUGGAAGUCUCCAUGUCGCUGGUCACCAUUGAGGUGCAAAACACCUUGAAAAAAUUGGUGAUUCUGAAUCCUUCAUCUAUAUGAACGAUUCAUGAAGAAAGAAUUAAACAAACAUUUAAUGAACAGAUUUUUUAUAAGAUUAUUAUCAAUAUUGCAUAUGAGAGAAAAUUGUCAAAUAUAAUUUCAUUUUAAUUUAAUAUAGUUAAUUAUGACAUCACUGUAUAUAAAGAAUAUGAUUAUUAUCAUUUGGUUAAUUUCAGUAUUACAUAGUAUUAGAUAAAAAUUUUAUUGUAAAAUUGCACAUCAAAAUAUGUUUUAUUAUCUAUUAUUAGGAGGAAAUAUUAUUUAACUAUUAUUAUUAUCCCUAAUAGCCCAGUGAAUGUGACCUCUGCCUCCAAUUCCGGAGGGUGUGGGUUCGAACCCGUUCCGGGGCACGCACCUCCAACUUUUCAGUUGUGUGCAUUUUAAGAAACUAAAUAUCACGUGUCUCAAACAGUGAAGGAAAACAUCGUGAGGAAACCUGCAUACCAGAGAAUUCUCUUAAUUCUCUGCAUAUGUGAUGUCUGCCAAUGUAAUCCAAAUAUGCUGGCCCAUAUUCGGCUCCUGUCAGAAUGAGAAGGGUUAGGCAUUGGCCUUCCCUUACCUUAUCAGCCGAUAGACGUCCACUGCUGGACAUAGGCCUCUUACAUGGACCUCCAUGCACAACGACCUUGAGCCGCGAACAUCCAACCAACCGACCAACCACGCUUUCCAGUGCGGGGUCUCCCGAGUGCGGGUAGGCACUAACCCCUCUUACUGGGGGAGACUCGAGCUCAGCAGUGAGCCGAAUAUGUGUUUAUAAUGAUGAUGAUGAUGAUGAUUAUUUAAGUAAUUGUAAAAGAAAAAAUUGAAUACUACAUUAGUUGUUUAUCUAUACAAUUCAAUAAUUUUAAGAACAAAACAUGUACCUACCACAUUGUAGGAAAUAAAUAAAUAAUGAUUUGAUUAAAAACAAUGUUGUUAAAUGUUAAGCAGGUAGGGCCAGGUAGUUCUAUAUUUGUGUAACAUCUAUUACUUAAAAAUAAAAAAUAUAUUUACUUGUG